GACUGGAGACAGGACAGGGUUGGGUCAAGCCCUCCCCAGGGAGCUCGGCCAGGCCACUACCUAGAAAGGAGAGGCGGCUCCAACAGCAAUCCACCGGGAGUGGGGAAGCGGAGACCAGGCUGUAGGGGCCGAAGGAAUGGGGGGUCAGAAGCCAGGAUGCCCCGACUCAAGGCCUGAUACCACUAAAGCUCCAUCUCCGGGCCACAGGACGCCGCCCAGGCCCUCAGCCCCGCGGAGCCAUCGUUAGCACCGCAGGUUCUACUCCGAAAGCCCAGCCUCCCCCUUGGCCCAACCGACACCCGGGAGGAGCCCCAGAUCUUUGGGGCCCUCAGCGACCCAACCGCCCAUGAAGACCCCCCAGAUCUUUGGGGCCGUGAGCAGCCCAACCACCCGCUCAACGGCCAAAGAUGGAGUCUGAGGCACCUGGAAGUUUCCACAGUCCUCGCCCUCCCACACAGGAUUUGGAAUGAACCUUAGGGGCUUGCUAAGUUUCCAGCCAAGUGGACAGGAUUAGGGCAAUGUAAAAUGGCCUCAGAGUGACUCCGGCCUGGGGAGAGACACCAGCCGCCCGGCCCACCCAGCCAGACGCCCCCUUCUCCGCCCAACCGACACCCAGGGAGAGGCUCCGAGGCCAGCCUGGCCCACUGCCCACCCGUUGGGUGGUGGAAGAUAGAGCCUCGGGCAGCCUGGAAAUUUCAGCGGUCUUCACCCUCCCAAACCAGAUCGGGAUCCUUCAAGACAGAGCAGCUGUCACUACCCACCCAGCCAACCGUCACCGAGGUUCUGACAGGAGCAGGGAGUCGACUGGGAAGGCGAAGAGGCGCCCCCUGAUUGGCCAGCUUCUCCGCCUGCGGCAUCCUGGGAGUUGUAGUCCCAGGCAAGGCCCCUACGGAGAAGGUUCUGGAUACCGGGUUACAACGGACUUGCGCUGCCACUUGGGCGGAAAAAACACUGACAUUCCCUGCCCGCUAUGUGCCAGGCCUUUGCAACCCUUAUCUCCAUUUAAGUUGCACAAGAUAGCGAUAGCGUUAAGUGCGGACUCUGGAAUAAAGCCGCUUGGGUUUGAAUCCUAUUCUGUCACCUGCUUAGUUGUAUAAAUGCAGAUAAGCGAUUAACCAUUCAGAGUGCAGAUGUCCUCACCUAUCGUGUGAAACGAUAAUAACUGCCUUCCAGUAUUAGUUUGAGGGUUAAGUUAGAUAAUGCAUCAGAGGUGCUUGGCAGAUAACAAGGGCCCAGAACUGUUAGCUAUUAUUAUUCCUAUAACAUUUUAUAGGAAUGAUAAUAGUAAAGAGUAGCAUGAAUAAAGAGAUG